rnacentral:rRNA from 1 species
CCUACGGGAGGCAGCAGUGAGGAAUAUUGGUCAAUGGGCGCGAGCCUGAACCAGCCAAGUAGCGUGAAGGAUGACUGCCCUACGGGUUGUAAACUUCUUUUAUAAAGGAAUAAAGUGAGGCACGUGUGCCUUUUUGUAUGUACUUUAUGAAUAAGGAUCGGCUAACUCCGUGCCAGCAGCCGCGGUAAUACGGAGGAUCCGAGCGUUAUCCGGAUUUAUUGGGUUUAAAGGGAGCGUAGGUGGGUUGUUAAGUUAGUUGUGAAAGUUUGGGGCUCAACCGUAAAAUUGCAAUUGAUACUGGCAGCCUUGAGUGCAGUUGCGGUAGGCGGAAUGCGUGGUGUAGCGGUGAAAUGCUUAGAUAUCACGAAGAACUCCGAUUGCGAAGGCAGCUUACUAAACUGCCACUGACGUUGAUGCUCGAAAGUGUGGGUAUCAAACAGGAUUAGAUACCCCAGUAGUC